rnacentral:rRNA from 1 species
GCUCGUAGUUGGAUUUCGGGCGUGGAGGUUCGGUCCGCCGUUUCGGUGUGCACUGUCUUUCUGCGUCUUUCUGUCGGGGACGCGCUUCUGGCCUUAAUUGGCUGGGACGUGGAUUCGACGAGGUUACUUUGAAAAAAUUAGAGUGUUCAAAGCAAGCUAAAGCUCUGAAUACAUUAGCAUGGAAUAACGCGAGAGGACUCGGUCCUUAUUUUGUUGGUCUUCAAGGAUGGAGUAAUGAUUAAGAGGGACAGUUGGGGGCAUUCGUAUUUCAUUGCUAGAGGUGAAAUUCUUGGAUUUAUGAAAGACGAACUUCUGCGAAAGCAUUUGCCAAGGAUGUUUUCAUUGAUCAAGAACGAAAGUUGGGGGCUCGAAGAUGAUCAGAUACCAUCCUAGUCUCAACCAUAAACGAUGCCGACUAGGGAUUGGCAGGUGUUACAUCGAUGACUCUGCCAGCACCUUAUGAGAAAUCAAAGUUUUUGGGUUCCGGGGGGAGUAUGGUCGCAAGGCUGAAACUUAAAGGAAUUGACGGAAGGGCACCACCAGGAGUGGAGCCUGCGGCUUAAUUUGACUCAACACGGGGAAACUUACCAGGUCCAGACAUAGUAAGGAUUGACAGAUUGAGAGCUCUUUCUUGAUUCUAUGGGUGGUGGUGCAUGGCCGUUCUUAGUUGGUGGAGUGAUUUGUCUGG